AGCGUAGACGGACUGGCAAGUCUGAUGUGAAAGGCGGGGGCUCAACCCCUGGACUGCAUUGGAAACUGUUAGUCUUGAGUGCCGGAGAGGUAAGCGGAAUUCCUAGUGUAGCGGUGAAAUGCGUAGAUAUUAGGAGGAACACCAGUGGCGAAGGCGGCUUACUGGACGGUAACUGACGCUGAGGCUCGAAAGCAUGGGUAGCGAACA
rnacentral:rRNA from 1 species